UGGGGAAUUUUGGACAAUGGGCGAAAGCCUGAUCCAGCCAUGCCGCGUGAGUGAAGAAGGCCUUCGGGUUGUAAAGCUCUUUUAGUCGGAAAGAAAGAGUUGCAAUGAAUAAUUGUGAUUUAUGACGGUACCGACAGAAAAAGCACCGGCUAACUACGUGCCAGCAGCCGCGGUAAUACGUAGGGUGCGAGCGUUAAUCGGAAUUACUGGGCGUAAAGGGUGCGCAGGCGGUCUUGCAAGUCAGAUGUGAAAGCCCCAGGCUUAACCUGGGAAUUGCGUUUGAAACUACAAGGCUAGAGUGCAGCAGAGGGGAGUGGAAUUCCAUGUGUAGCAGUGAAAUGCGUAGAGAUGUGGAAGAACACCGAUGGCGAAGGCAGCUCCCUGGGUUGACACUGACGCUCAUGCACGAAAGCGUGGGGAGCAAACA
rnacentral:rRNA from 1 species